rnacentral:ncRNA from 1 species
AACGCCGUGUGCGGUGAAAAUUGCAUGCACGGUGUGGAGGAGGGGAAAAGGUGGAGAUAAUAUCAAACCCUUACCUAUUCCAAUA